GUGGGGAAUAUUGGACAAUGGGCGAAAGCCUGAUCCAGCCAUGCCGCGUGUGUGAAGAAGGUCUUCGGAUUGUAAAGCACUUUAAGUUGGGAGGAAGGGCAGUAAGUUAAUACCUUGCUGUUUUGACGUUACCGACAGAAUAAGCACCGGCUAACUUCGUGCCAGCAGCCGCGGUAAUACGAAGGGUGCAAGCGUUAAUCGGAAUUACUGGGCGUAAAGCGCGCGUAGGUGGUUUUGGAAGUUGGAGGUGAAAUCCCCGGGCUCAACCUGGGAACUGCCUCCAAAACUGCAUGACUAGAGUACGGUAGAGGGUAGUGGAAUUUCCUGUGUAGCGGUGAAAUGCGUAGAUAUAGGAAGGAACACCAGUGGCGAAGGCGACUACCUGGACUGAUACUGACACUGAGGUGCGAAAGCGUGGGGAGCAAACAGGAUUAGAUACCCCAGUAGUCC
rnacentral:rRNA from 1 species